GACGAAUGCUGGCGGCGUGCUUAACACAUGCAAGUCGAACGGAAAGGCCCUGCUUUUGUGGGGUGCUCGAGUGGCGAACGGGUGAGUAACACGUGAGUAACCUGCCCUUGACUUUGGGAUAACUUCAGGAAACUGGGGCUAAUACCGGAUAGGAGCUCCUGCUGCAUGGUGGGGGUUGGAAAGUUUCGGCGGUUGGGGAUGGACUCGCGGCUUAUCAGCUUGUUGGUGGGGUAGUGGCUUACCAAGGCUUUGACGGGUAGCCGGCCUGAGAGGGUGACCGGCCACAUUGGGACUGAGAUGCGGCCCAGACUCCUACGGGAGGCAGCAGUGGGGAAUAUUGCACAAUGGGCGGAAGCCUGAUGCAGCAACGCCGCGUGCGGGAUGACGGCCUUCGGGUUGUAAACCGCUUUCGCCUGUGACGAAGCGUGAGUGACGGUAAUGGGUAAAGAAGCACCGGCUAACUACG
rnacentral:rRNA from 1 species